rnacentral:rRNA from 1 species
AGAGUUUGAUCCUGGCUCAGAACGAACGCUGGCGGCAGGCCUAACACAUGCAAGUCGAGCGCUGUAGCAAUACAGAGCGGCGCACGGGUGAGUAACACGUGGGAACGUGCCCUAUGGUUCGGAAUAACUCAGGGNAAACUUGAGCUAAUACCGGAUAAGCCCUUCGGGGGAAAGAUUUAUCGCCAUUGGAGCGGCCCGCGUUGGAUUAGCUAGUUGGUGGGGUAAUGGCCUACCAAGGCUGCGAUCCAUAGCUGGUUUGAGAGAACGACCAGCCACACUGGGACUGAGACACGGCCCAGACUCCUACGGGAGGCAGCAGUGGGGAAUCUUGGACAAUGGGGGAAACCCUGAUCCAGCCAUGCCGCGUGAGUGAUGAAGGCCCUAGGGUUGUAAAACUCUUUCGGCGGGGACGAUAAUGACGGUACCCGCAGAAGAAGCUCCGGCUAACUUCGUGCCAGCAGCCGCGGUAAUACGAAGGGGGCUAGCGUUGUUCGGAAUUACUGGGCGUAAAGCGCGCGCAGGCGGUCCUUCAAGUCAGGGGUGAAAGCCCAGGGCUCAACCCUGGAAUGGCCUUUGAGACUAGAGGACUUGGGGUACGGGAGAGGUGAGUGGAAUUCCGAGUGUAGAGGUGAAAUUCGUAGAUAUUCGGAAGAACACCAGUGGCGAAGGCGGCUCACUGGCCCGUUACCGACGCUCAGGCGCGAUAGCGUGG